rnacentral:siRNA from 1 species
UAUGUACCUAAUAUUGCCGAAG